GUUAAUGUAGCUUAAACUACCAAAGCAAGGCACUGAAAAUGCCUAGACGGGUACUUCACCCCAUGAACA
rnacentral:tRNA from 1 species